rnacentral:snoRNA from 1 species
GAAAGUGACGAGAAAAACGCUGUGCACCAGUCUGAACUGGCACCUAACAAUGUACUCAGGUCGCCAUGAAGCAUCAAGUAUACCCAAAUUUCUGAUU